GUGUCAGCAGCCGCGGUAAUACGUAGGUGGCAAGCGUUGUCCGGAUUUAUUGGGCGUAAAGCGAGCGCAGGCGGUUUUUUAAGUCUGAUGUGAAAGCCUUCGGCUCAACCGAAGAAGUGCAUCGGAAACUGGGAAACUUGAGUGCAGAAGAGGACAGUGGAACUCCAUGUGUAGCGGUGAAAUGCGUAGAUAUAUGGAAGAACACCAGUGGCGAAGGCGGCUGUCUGGUCUGUAACUGACGCUGAGGCUCGAAAGUAUGGGUAGCAAACAGGAUUAGAUACCCUGGUAGUCCAUACCGUAAACGAUGAAUGCUAAGUGUUGGAGGGUUUCCGCCCUUCAGUGCUGCAGCUAACGCAUUAAGCAUUCCGCCUGGGGAGUACGGCCGCAAGGCUGAAACUCAAAUGAAUUGACGG
rnacentral:rRNA from 1 species